ensembl:lncRNA
UCCCUCUUGAAGCCAGCUUCUCCAACCAUAAAAUAAAAUUGAAUGAAAUGCUGAUCAACUUUAAUAAUUCACCCUUUCUCUUUCACCAAAAUGAAACAAUAAUUUACAAAAACAACAAAACACAAAUCGACUCCAAGUCCGAUACGAUCGACAGUAGAAUACAAUUCUGUAGCAAACUGCAUGUGUUCACACAAAAGUCCCUUUCACACAUACUUUUUUUGCAGCAGGACAAUAAAUGAAAUAUACGCAUAAUAAAACGUGUUUACCAUUUUUUUUAACCAUGUUUGCUGAAUGUACUAGCUAACUGAGACGGAGCCGUCGAUCCACGCGAUUCACUUAGAACAGUUAAGGCUCAACGAAGCCCCUUAAAGAGUGUUCUAACCAUUAGGUGGCGCAAACACUCUAACAGAAAAACAAAAAGGACAAAAAGGCUUCAAACAAGAACAUUUGAACAUUUCUCAUGGAUAUAGCAUCUGUUUGGGAACCCCCAUCAGGCACAUAAAAAACUUUUAUGAGGCUGAGGCAAUACUGAGCUGUCGUUUGAGGGUUCAGUAAAUAUAGAUAAAAUAUCGAACUAUCAAAUUAACAUAGGCUCCUUCAGUUAAAGCUGAGGUAGGCAAUUGGGGAAACCAGGCAGAGUAUUCCAGAUUUUGAAAGUAUCCAAUCCAAUUCGAUUGGAAAGCCUGCGAAAGCCACAGAUACCAUAUUCUUAACUUUCUUUUUGUUCGAUCAUUUGAUUGAUUGAUUGCUGUCGCGAUGUAAAGAGAAUUUCAAACAAAGCCUCGAAAAAAAAACAGCCUACCCCAGCUGUAACAAGGGGGUUUGGAAGCCAAACGCAAUAAAACACUGCUUUGCAUAGACAAGUGAUCCUCGCCCAGUACCUAAAGCUGAGUGCCAGAAACUAAACACAACUCUCUUCAUAACAAUCUUUAGGACAUAACAAACGUGGACAUGGGAUUUGAUUUGUUCCUUGAACACAAUAAAACUAGAUUUUCUUCCGUGAAACCUACUCUUUGCAUUUCAACUCCACAUUGACCCUCAUGCAAGAACAUUCCUGGUGACCCUGAACCUGGACAUAUUUCACAUCCGUGCGUCGCAUUCUAUGGACCAUUUGACCAAUCGCAGCUCAAGAGUUCAUGGUCCAUUCCUAUUGGGCAGAGCAUGACGAUGACCUCAUGAUGUGGCGGGCGGCGGCCAUCAUGGAGGACUCUGAGGGGUACUCACACACCUGCUCCAGCUGGGCCUCGGAGAAAC